ACUCUUUUUCAACUGGAGUGGUUAUCACCAUCAAAUAAAUAAGAUCCUAAGGCUACACCUAGAUUAUCAAAUGAAUGCAGGUAGUAUGAAGAAGAGGUACAGAUUUCAUUGUUGACAUAGGUGAGGCCAUAUGAUAGGAUAGAGAGAAAAAAAUUUUUGAAGAUAAAAUAUGAAGAGAUAUGCAGACUUAGGAACCUAAUGCUCUUAUACCAUGAAAAAAAGAU
rnacentral:lncRNA from 1 species